CCGCCGCCUUAUCAAUUUUAACGAUUUUUACUGACUUCGUAAAUUUCGUUAUUAUUUCGCCGUCUUGCCAGGUUCCCCCCGUUUUCGUCGGUUUUCCGGCCCCAUUCGCACCUUAUUCACGAUCCUUAUGACGUUUUACAGAAUUUUGUGUCCGGUUUUCGUUCGCGUCACGUCCGCGGCGGUAGAAAUAACGGCCGCAAAGAGCGCCGCUGGCCGGUCGUCCGUCCCGCGCGUUUCUCGCCGUUUUCGUUUUUUCUCGAUCGAUUUCGCGUUUUUGCGCCCCGCUCGGUCUCUAUUCAGUCGGCGGAUGUCAUUUUCGAUACGCGUGUGUACGGUUUUCGCUCGAAAUUGGUUCGUUUGCUCCGAUACCGUCGUCCGUGCCGACGGAGGCUGCGACCGACGUAGCGAUCGGUUUUCUCCGUCGUUCCGGAUCCGUUUCGUCUCUCCCGUCGCCGUUCGUCUUCGGAAAGCCGCAAAUGUGCUAUAAUAUGUAGUCUAAGUCGAUCUGUGUCGAAAUCAGUUCGUUCACCUCGCAGUCGCGUUUCGAAAAUAAUGACGCCGGCCGUAUAACGACCGACCGUCCAUACGCGUAUAAAAACAUUUUUAAUAUCGUUAUUUUCAUGAUAAAUAAUUAUUUUAUUGUUUUUCAUAAUGUGAAUAACACAAUAUAGAAUCCAAUAUACAAUAUAGAUCUUAACAAUGGUCAAACACUGUGUGAUAUGUCACAACGUUGACGCUGUUCCGCGAGUUUCAGUACACAACUAAUCGCAUUAUAUUAAUACAUUAAAUAUUCCAUAUAUAUAUUUAUACUAUACUGAUGUAUUAUAUUCCUUAGCUUCCCGCGGACGCUGUACGUCAACGUUUGUGGGUGCCAUUUGUCGAGAACUUGGGGAUUCAUGUUAAUCGAAUCUCUAAGCUAUGUUCAAUGCACUUCAUUCCUGGCGUAGAGGAGGCAUUCGUCGUCGUCUGACCAGAACAAUGGUCGGAGCACAACCGGUACCUGACCGUGAACUACCAGUUCACUCAGAAAUUGACAAUGCCGAUGCAAACGGUGGCGCAGAAAUCGUUGAGGUACAGAUGGAAGGUAUCGACAUGGAAGUCGUCCAGAUGGACCAAGUCCUGAUGGAUGACGUCGAUGUAGUACCAAGCCAAGUGGAGUUGGUGGUCCUGAAUAACAAUGAGGAGAUGCAACUUGUCAUCGACUUUUUACUCCAAGGCUUCAAUGAGGAGUUUGAACCAAUUUCCCUGAGUGUUCCGGUGAACAGCCCAGAAGGUGACCGUCUGGCUAGCGUCCAACACCCGCUCCCAGAACAGUAUUACAUUGUGACGUUAAAUGCGGUUUGUAGAGAUUGUGGUGCCAGUUACUUCCCCAUCUAAAGUACCAGACAGGGUGGUCUCUAUACAUGUUGUAAUAGCGGGCUCGUGACCGUAACAGAACUGCGGGUGUUGCAACCCGUACCUGUGUUACUAAUGAAUUUGUUGACUUUUGAUUCAAGCCAGGAGCUUUAGAGUUGAGAUUUUAAGGUACAACAACUGUUUGGCAUUGGCUGUGUUCUCCGGUAACUUCAACCCCAGACGUUUGCCAGGUCGUGGACAUAGGGUAUUUUAUGCUCAAUGACAAGUGUAUCACAGGACUAACAAUGAAGACGCCCCAAGUGUAGACAGGCAACCGAGAUACUGUGUAAUUUUUACACAUUACUUCUAUAUAAUAUAAUAUUAUGUACAUUUACAUUUGGCAAACAAUUUAAUUUUCACUUAUAAACUGAUUCCAUUUUAUUAUGUAAAUGCGAUUAGGUAUAAUUAAUCAUUUGUGCACACUUUGUAGGCACACAACAUAAUAUUAAACUGUUAACUAACAUUUAUUUAAUUUUAAAUUAAAAUUUGUCUAAUGUAAACAGUUAAGUUUACAGUAUAUAUUUCACAUUCCAAUAAUUUUCACACUACCCAUCUACAUAAUAAUAUAAUAUUACAACAAUUUGAAUUGUACAUCAACGCCAAAUGAAAGUGGUGACUUCCAUCUAUCAUUUGGGUGUGGGUUGAUUAUUUAUAAUAUAAUUAUUCAAUGACAAUAAUUGUUCUGUUUACAAAAGAGUCACUAUAAAACAAAUUGAUGAAUUACUUAAGAUUAUUUGUUUUCAUAACAUUCGAACAGUAAAUUCACCAGCUUAGAAUUUUGUAAUAACAAUAAACACUACAAAUUGCCAGGUACACAAUGUAUAAUUUCAAUUAUUUCAAUCUAUAUUUUUGAUACAGUAUUAACAUUACUCCACUGAGCUUGGGCUUAAUUCAUAAUUUUUAUACACUAUAUUACAUUACACUUUACUAUCGUUUGUUUUAUUCACAUAAAUAUUACCCCAAUAAACCCCAAUAAGACUUAAUAUUAACUUUAUAAUGACCAAGUCUCACCAUAUUCAUAUAUUAUAAUUAAAAUUUAUUUAAUGGACUCAUUAAUUUUUUCUAUACCUAUCGUGUGUGGUUCUGUAUACCUUAAGGUAAAAUAUAUGUGCAAUAAUCAUUACACUGCAGUACUGCACAUCAUACAAAACAAAUUAAUAAAAAUUAAAUGACAGGCUAUAAUAUAAUUUAAUUAUAUUAUUAACACUUGAACAUAAUGACUGACAUAAACUACUAUAUGACUGUAUUAUUCCUAUAUGUUAUGUGCGACGCAGUCAGGGACCAACGGCGUUACGGUCCACCCACCGCAGAUGAAGUUGUGGCUGUGUUUGUCAAUGACGAUGACCGACCACCAAGAGACAUAAAUCUGGUCAUCUACAACAGAAAUCCAAUCGACCCUCAUCACCGGAUGCAAACGUUAUAUGCAGGAUCACGUCCUAUCGAGUGUUGUCCCAUACGGUGAAUCCAGUUGGCAAAACAACAUGAUGCAGCAGGGCAACCGCGUCAACGCGGUUCGCACACAGAUCGUUACCAAGACACUUGCGUAACGACCAGUUUAGUAUAUUACACAGAGGUAGUUUUUUGUUACAGAUGUACCUGUGUGAUCUGCAUGUUAUAAUAGAAUUGAACAAUCUGAAUUUCAUUCGUCGGAAUCAGGGUACGCUCCUUGCAGAAGCUUAUCAAGGCCUUGUUGACCACAUCAACCAACGGCUCCGCUUGCGCCUGUUAUCCCCUUGGCCGUCGGCUGUAGGGUCAUUUUACCUUUGACGUUCGUCGGGAGUCCCCGCUACAAUAAAGGCUGUUAUCACGACGCUAUUUUCAAUGUGCGAAAAUUCGGUAAGCCUGAUAUUUUCAUAACUUUAGGUGACUAGGUGACUAGAAAUCACAGAAAACCUAGGGACACACACUUUGGCAAACGACAGGUCCGACCUAGUGGCCAGAGUGUUCCAUGUCAAGCUCAAGGCCCUUAUGCACGACUUAACGGUCGAAACGAGGUCUGCCACAUGCGCACAUACUCAUUAUCCUCGGAGAGUACGGCAAGUUGCUCGACACACAGAGGAUGUCGAAAACAUUGUGUGCGCCUCCUUGCCAGGCCCGGUGACUAAUCGUCGUCUGUUCGACUGCGUGACAUCGCACAUGAUUCAUGGACAGUGUUGACAACUUAACCCCAACAGUCCAUAUAUAGUGGAUCAGAGUUGUUCAAAGAAGUUUCCAAAAUAGUACUGUGAUGAGAUGGUGUACGUCUCUGAUGGCGGCUACCUCAUGUACCGCCGUCCGAACAAAGGUCGUGUGGCCCUUGUCAGACAACAAAAGUUACAUCAACUCGCAGUACAUUGGCCCGCCUGAAGCCAUUUGAUGGUUGUUUUCGUAUGAGAUACACAACCGAAGUCACACGAUCGUAAGACUUUCAGUCCACCUGGAAGAUAAUCAGACCGUGUACUUUGCUCCUGGACGUGCUGAAGUAAGACGAUGAUAACCAACGUCGUACUGAACUAACAGAGUUCUUCACACUCAACUCAAACAGCGAGGUGGUAAGACAGUGCCUGUACCACGAGAUACCGUUACAUUACACUUGGGAUCAACCUAGCAGGACAUGGUCGCCACAUAGAAUUCAGAUGGCCAACAAGACGUACCGAAGUCCGGAGCAUUAUCAAAUAUAAUGUAUAAUAUUGUAAUUUUUAACUAAUUUAUUGUUUAUAUAAAAAUAAUUGAAUGUCAUGUACAUAAUUGUAAUUUAACUAUUGUAUUUUUACUAAUUACACGUCUUUAUGUAAACAAAUA